rnacentral:rRNA from 1 species
AGAGUUAAAAGUACGUGAAAUUGUUAAAAGGGAAACACUUGAAACCAGUCUUGAGGUUGGAAUCCCAACUAGCCUAACGGUUAGCAUAUGUUUCCAACUUCAGGUCAACAUCAGUUUCGACUGGAGGAAAAAGCUUGAGGAAGGUAGCCCUUCGGGGUGUUAUAGCCUCAAGUAAUACUCUGGUUGGGACUGAGGAACGCAGUGCAGUCUUGGGUACCCUUUCGCUAGUUGAAUUACCCUGCAGACAGCAUGCUGAUUGUAGGGGAGCUAAGACUAAUCGGAGGGCUUGCCACACCUUGUGCUUAGGAUGUUGACAUAAUGGUUUUAAACGACC